GAGGGACUGGUGCUGUGCUCCCGAGCGCACCCUCAAAAGUUUGGUUUCGGUCCCGCCGGUGGUUUGGCGGGUCCGGAGUUAUUACCCCCUUGAGGGCCCAAUUGGCGUUUG